GUACACGCUGUGACUAGCAUAUCAAUAAGCGGAGGAAAAGAAACUAACAAGGAUCCCCUAGUAACGGCGAGUGAAGCGGGAAGAGCUCAAAUUUGAAAUCUUAAAGGGUUUCCCUUUACGAAUUGUAGUUUAAAGAAGUGUUUUCUGUUGAGGUUUUGGUAAAAGUUCUUUGGAAUAGGACAUCAUAGAGGGUGAGAAUCCCGUAUUUGACCUUUACUUUCAACUUUGUGAUACACUUUCAAAGAGUCGGAUUGUUUGGGAAUGCAGUCCAAAAUGGGUGGUAAAUUUCAUCUAAAGCUAAAUAUUGGCGAGAGACCGAUAGCGAACAAGUACCGUGAGGGAAAGAUGAAAAGAACUUUGAAAAGAGAGUUAAACAGUACGUGAAAUUGUCAAAAGGGAAGCGUUUGACACCAGUGUUGUUUUUCUGAAAAUCAAUUAAAGAACUGUUUAUGCUAAGCUGUUUAGACUUUAUCAGCUAACUGUUUAGUUUUGAGCUUUUCUUUAAUGCACUUUUCAGUUAACAAGUCAACAUCAAUUUCUUUUGCUGUAAAAAAGCUUGAGGAAGGUGGCUUGAGAUUCGUCUUAAGUGUUUAUAGCCUCUUGCCUAUGCAGUCGGAGAGAUUGAGGUCUGCAGCGUAGAUCCUUCGGGGCUAAAUGCAUUUGUGCUAAGUUAUAACAUUUUAUAGACAACUUGUUGACUAUGAUUUGUCUUGUAGCUUACUCGCUUAUGUUAUUUUACCUACGCUUAGGAUGUUGACAGCAGUAUAGACUGU
rnacentral:rRNA from 1 species